rnacentral:misc_RNA from 1 species
CAACUUCCACCUGGCUUACCUCCUCAGUUAUGCGUCAAGGCUUGUAUCGCCUAGAGCGUAUUGUUGGUUUUCUGUAUUGGAUACCUAAUCGAAGGUAUUAUUUUGAUCGAUUGGAGUCCCUUUUCGUCUUGUGUUGCAUUYUGUGUSGCAUGAUGAACUUUGAAGCGGUCUCUAUGAUCCAUCACGUUGAUGCACUUGCAUUGAUGUUGUGGCCCAUUGAGCUUUGUUUGGUUUCUUGGAUAUGGAACAUGAAGUGGGCAUGGGGCUGUCAUGAUCCUCUUUUUGCCCUCGUAUGGUGUUCUCGAACGACGGGUCAUGCGCGCCUAGGCUCGUACCUGCGUGAUGAUC